GUGAGCUGGCUGGGAAGGCCAAGGCUCUGCGCCUCCCUCCCUCGCCUACCCAGCAUCCUCUGGGAGCUGUCGCCUUGGAGACAGCAGCUGUGCCCUGCUCUGUGCUGUCCUGUGACACGAGCCCUAUUGUGGAGACCACCUGGACUAUGACCAUGGUCCACGUCUGCGCGGCAAGGGAGGCUGGACAGGCCUUCUAGUUCCCUUCAGCUGGGCCAACUGUGGCAGGGCCUGAGUGGCCACCACCUUCCCGAGCACAGCCCAGGUCGGAGCUGGCCGCUGCCUGCCAGCCCCACCCAUGUGGAAAACUUUCCGUCUGUGGCUUCCCGCGUCCUCUGAGAAGUUUCUGGAGUGCAGAAGAGGCCACACGUGGUUCCCAGCCCAGCCAUUGCACAAGGACUUCCUAAGAGGCUCCAUGGUGCCUGCGUGUUAAUGCGAGCUGCAGGUCUGGGCCUGCCGACCUCGGAGCUGGAGGGCUUAGUGUUUCCUGGAGUGCAGGUGGGUCCAUCCUGGGGAGGCAGGGGCGUCCAGGGUGGCUUCAACCAGCUGGGAAUGGCAGGGGCUGCAGCUGGCUGCAGCAGCGGUGCUGUGGACAUGCUGGGGUGUGGAGGGAAUGUGUGUCCUGGGUGCCUGUAGGCAGGACGGAACAGGCAGAGUGUCACUGUGUUCCUUUACUGCGUAAGCUGGUUCCACGACCUUGGUCAACUGGCUCAACCCCGGAGGCCUAAGGUUCCUCAUGCAGAACAGGACCACAGUGGAGGCUGCCUCACAGUCUGGGAGGAUGGAAGGAGAAAGGUGUAUGAGUUCUGAGUUCUGGCCCUAGGUGGACUGCUGCUGUCUGCCCUUCACCAUGUCUGGCUAGUGCUGUCCUUGGCCUGUCACAUGGUAAAGCAGCUUCGGAGCCACCACAGUACCCUGAAGCACCUUUGUGCUACUUAGCAUCACCUUCCUGCUCUGGCUGCACAAACCGCAAGGACCUCUGAGCAGUCCCAGCCACACUCUGUGCUGCCGGAGGGCAGCCCACCAUCCUGAGCAUCUUCCGCACACUCGGCAUUACUGACCUUAAAUUCCGUGCGGACACGGCACAGCGUGGUGUUAGUGCGCCGGCUACAACUCAGCUGCAUUCAAGUCGAGACUCCCACACCCAUCUCACAGGAGGAGUCCCCCCUCUGUAGGCAGCUAGGACAGCUCACCCCAGCCUUCACCCCCAGAAGCAGCAAGCAUUUGGUACCUAGCAAAGCAACUUCGAGGGAUGCACCAUUGUCGAUGAAGACAGAGGUAUUCAGGUUGCCCAAACUCCUGGGAGGCUUGACUUGGACAGGGGCGAGCAGAAGGAUCUACUGAGCCUUCCAGGGAAGGCAUUCAGGGCAGCAGGAGACAGAUCGCAGGGACCUCGCCAAUGCCCUGAGACAGGCUGUCUGCAUCUAGUGACUGCUUGUGUGGCAGAAUGCGUUCUAAGGCUUGCUUUCACGCACAUCUGAGAGUGGGGUUGCGGUCACCUUCCUCUAGGUUGGCAGCAGCUGCAACCAACCAAAUAAAAUGACAGUGAUGACAGCACAACCAGCUGCGAGCAUCUGCCUGUGUGACCAAAGGGCAUGUGUGGUCAGUUCCUGCCUGCCUCAGGGUCCCCGGGGCUGCGAUGCUCCCAGGACCAGGCAUCCAGUUUCCUUUCUGAUUUGAUGAUGGAUGAGGCAGAGCCAGGCUCUGAGUGGCCUCGCAGCCACGGCCUGCAUCCAGGACCUUCCGGUGGCCAUUUCCAGCCUGACUCAGAGGCACUGCCGGCUUCCUGGGAUGAGGACGUGCUCUCCAGCUUUGCAGAAGCCCGGGACGGUGGCCACCAUGGAGGCCAUCAUCUGGGGCUAUGCACACCUGCUUUUCUGCCUGGAAAAUGAGCCUGGACAAGCGUUUGCUUGUGCCAAGGGAUGUACCAUGAGGGAGCCAAGGGGAGCCACUGCCGGUUCCCACAUCUGCAGCAGGUACCUGGCAAGGAUUAAGAGGGUGCUCAAUUUGUGACUUCACGGAGAGAAACUGAACCCCACCUGCCGAGGCUGCUGGGGAAGAGGUGACACCGGCUGGGCUGGGACUCUGGAGAGUCCUCUGUGGGGUGGGUCAGGCAGGAGAAGACCCAGUGCAGGCACUCCCAGGAGGAGCUCGGGGGCCAGAGGGCCCGGGGCCAGAGCUGCCCCAGAGCAGAGGACCUUUCUCCUUGCACGGGAACCAGAGGAGCGGUGCUGUGGACGGAGGUGAGGGUCUGGAGUGGCAGGGAAGAAAGCGGGCAGGGUGGGGCAGCACAGCCUCUGACUCCUCUUGCUGUUCCUCCCACUCCUUGUCUGAGCUUUCUUCUGGAGAGAGAGGCGGGGGAGGGAGGGCUGGACUCCAGUGGACAGGACACUUGGCCCAGCCAAGGAAACGCCGAGGUUUGCAGUCUUCCGGACUCCUCUGCAGCGGCUGGGACGCCAGGCUCCCACAGGUCUGCUCCAGCUCGCUCCUCCCCGCCAGCCCAUCCUGCCUGCUCCCUGUGCCCCUGCUCUGCCAGCUGUCCCCACCCUCCCCGCUCACCCCUGCAAGCACCAGGUGCCCACACAUCAGAGCCACCCCAGCGACUCCUGAGGGAUGCCUAUAAGUGGCUCUCGAGGACUCCCCAUCCCCACGGCCAACGGAUGAUCGGUCAUCUUCCACCUUGGCAAGCUGCUCAGGGUCCCAGUCAAGUGAAGAGCCAUCCUGUGGCAGAGCACAGCUCCAGGAGCCUGGGCUGUCCCUGGGUCCCUGGUUAUUGUCCACUAGCAAGAUCUACCUGGUGUGACUAGGUACUGACCGCCAGCUGUUCCCUCCCUGCCUGGGUUGCAUGGGUCUCGAGAUUUAUUUACACCCCCCGGAGGGCAGCCGAGCUAGCAGAGAGGGCAGCAGGGACUGGUCACUCAGCGAAUCCAUGCAUGCAAACGGGAGGAUGAGGACGGGAGCAAGGGCACAGCGUCUGGGCUCUCGGGUCAGCAAGGAGGAGCCUUCUGAAGCUGGCCAAACCCUCCAGACUGGACGUAACAAACGUCUGCUGCCUCCACUGCAUCCCUGAAGCUGGCAGGGGACCUUCUUUGGUCACAGGAUGAGCCCAGAACACUUCUCAUUUCAUCUGGAUGUGACUGGCUUCUCUCCCUUCUCUGGACAAGGGAACCCCUCGGAUUCCCUACGACAGCGCUCCUUUGACAGUGCUGCUUCAGGAGUCUGGGGAGGCAGGCAUGUGAAUCUCUGCUCUUUCACCAGCUGCGUGAGCUGCACCCACUGGCUUAACCUCUGACUUCCUCUGACCACACUGUCACACCACUGAACCCUGCAGGCUGGUCACGAGCCUAAGGCGACUGCAGGCGUGAAGGGGUCCCGGCAGGGCGUGACUGGCAGCAGCACUCAGCAAACAGAUGCAGGAAGAACGGCUCGAGGCUGCUUUGCCAGGCCCCGAAACCACGGCGGCAGGAGCCCCCACCCUGUGGAUGCAGUCAGGCUACAGGUGCCGUCACCUGGGCUUCCCCGGGACCAUGCCAGCCCUUCCUGAGCAGGACGCCUGUCCCUGGGGCAUGGAAAGGAAGCUGCUUUGGAGCCACGACUCCCCUGGGCACCGUGGGGAUAGCCCUGUGCGUGGGGACCGUCUCACCGUCUGGGAUUUUCGGGAUGACAGGGAGUGUGUAGCAGCUUGGUUCAGGAGAAUCUGCUGCGGGUGAGCCAGCACCAGCCCCUGCCACCGGGGGCCACCUACCUCCAGGUCUUCCCAGCAAGACAGGAAGCACCUGAUGCAGUGCCAAGGGCUUUGCAAAAAAGCACUACGUCCACCUGACUUGGUUGAAGGAGACCCUCGCUCUUGCGGUCGUGGCCCCUCCGCCCGCCCGCUGACCCUGGUGCGCGGCUACAUGGCUGACCUGUCUUUUCCGUGAGGGCCUUGGGCGCACGGCCCCUCCCACCCCGGCUUCAGCCGAUAGGGGAACCGUGGGGGGCCAUGCCCUGGGUCACUUGAGCUGUGACUGCAGUCUUGGGGUCUGGAACUUCGAGGGGGCCAAGCCCGAGUGAAGGAGACAGGCGGGCGUGGAGGUCACGGCUGACCUGGGCAGUCUGUGUCAGCCCCUCUGACCCCAAACGCCCACCCAGAUUCUCAGCCCUGGAGUGGAGAGGCCAGCAGGGUGCUGAGACCGGGAUGGAGCGCAGCGCAGCCGCCCGUCCGGGGGAGGGGUGCGAGCCCGGAGCAGGUGCCUGGGACCCUCCCCGGCCUCCUCCCGGCCCAGGGCGUGAACCCACCUUCGGCGCGGGAGGCGUCCGCGCGGUCGCGCCGGCGCUGGCGCUGGCGCUGGCGCCUGGUCCCCGCCGCCUGCUCUGCCCGGCGCUGGCGGCUCCCGCCUCCCGUGGAUCCUCGGCACUGUUCUUUUGAAGGGACGUGGUUUUCUCUGCGUUGCGUCAGGGCGGUUGCCUGGAGACGCAGCGCUCUCGCGCCCGCCUUUGCGCGUCGUCGCGGCCUCUUCAGGCCGGGCCCGGGUCCGAGCGCGCGGGUCCUAGAGCCCCCCGAGUUCGCCUCCCGGCGCACAGCGGGCCGGCCGCAGGCCGACCGACCCCAGAAAAAAACGAACCCAAACAUCCAUUUUUCAUGAAGCCCAAACCCCACUUUCCCAGAAAAAAAAAAAAAAACCAGCAGAGCUGUGUGGCUCUGUCAUUGUCAGCGCUCCGCCUGCGUGGAGGGGACAGGAACCCCACGCCCCAGCCUGAGCCCCAUGCUCCACCCACGGAGGCUUGGGCUGUCGCCAAGCCUGAGGCCUGGCAGCGACUCCGUGGGGCAAGGGUCCAUCACUGCUGGCCCCGGGGAAUCCAGAGCUGCAGGCACCCAGGACACAGAGGACGGCAGCUGGGGCUGGGGCAUAUCUUUGGGGGGUACAGUCCGAAGAUAUCUCUGCGGGGUACAGUCUGGCUGCAGCAAGGGCGUCCUGCCCCGCUCCCCACUCCCCAGACCUUCAGGCCUCGAGGAAGGUGGUCUCCUCCUCCCAGACCUCGCCAAGCCCGGUUCCUACCUGCCUGGGACAGAAGGGUCCCCCAGAGUUAACCUGUCGAUCUUCCUCUCUCUUUCCCUCCUGCCCUGCAGGCGUCCUCUGCCCCUUGCUCAUGUUGGUGUCCUUUGGGGGCUGCUUGCCCUCACCGCUGAGCUAGAGGACACUGCAGGGAUGACCUCCACCUCGACCUUCACCUCUGGACACAUCCCCAUCUCCACCCACCACUGUCUCGGCUCUGGAUGGGCCAGGCUGGGGUUUGUGAAUAUGGACAGCUGCGUGUGCAAACCGCAAAGUAACGACUUGGUUCCCUCCAUCCCUCGAGCUCCUUAGCUCCUGGUGAAGCCCCUGCAGUGUAGGUAGACAGGUGUGAGCUGAGACUGCUGAACCACAUCAGAAAAAUCGGCUCAGGGAUGCUGCGUAGCCUAUUUCGGGGGUGCUGGAAGAGACGAAGGGGCGCUGCAUGAAAACACAGGAGGAUGGAGCCCACUUCCCAGGGCAGAAGACCUGGGGCCCAGCCAGGGCCCUGGCAUGGUCACUACUCAGCAGAGCACUUUGGCUGCUGCUCUUUGGAAUGUCCCUGGAGACCCUCCCUGCCCUGUGUAGAGCCCCCAGGGGUGGGUGUGGCCGUUCCCUCCCCCUGCCACCGUCAACCGGACCUGGUCUCCUUGCAGCCACACUAAGACAAACAGGGUAAACUCUGCCCUUUACUUUCAAGGCGUUAAAAUUAAAACUCAAAGUGCCCACCCUGCCUUUUAGAGUUUUCCCAGAUUCACUUCUCUGCCCGCACAAUAAGUAUCAACUAGCACCUGUUAAAUAGCAGACAGUGUUCUAGGCUCUUAGGGAACAACUGCAAUAAAGGCCUUUGCCUGGGAGUGCUAAUAUCCCAUUGGGGGAAGCGAGGUCCUGGUAAAUUAGCAAUAUCAUCAGUUACAGAGAGCAAAACUGGAGGCCUGGACUGAAAAGCAAUGGCGUGUGUAUGUGGCAGUGGGGGCGGGGCUGACCUCGUUAGUAAGGUGGUUUCAGAGCAAAGAUUUUGGAUGAGGGAGCAGGGGGAGGGGCCCCAGGCGAGAGCAGUCAGUGCAAAGGCCCCUAGGCAGCAAAUGUGGAGCAGGGGUGGGGAAGGCUGUGGGAGAUGAUGUCAAGACAGAGGGGGGGCCUUGCUGACCCCCAGGAGGCCUCCCCUUUCCCAAAGAACCAGAGUGCACAGCUGGAUCUAGGGACUCACUGGCCUCUCAGGUACCCCAGGGAGGAACAGGGUGGUGGGAAUGAGGAAAAGAUGGACAAGAGACAAGAGCUGGGUCAGGGGGAGAUCCCCUCUCUCCUAAGCAGAGGAGAGGAACACCCAAGAACAGUAGAGCGUUUAUUUGUGCCCUGGAGAUGUCUAUAUUAAUUUCAACCUCUCUACCCAAUAAUCCGUUAAGAAGCUGCAACAGCUUGUUUAUGUGCUUCGAGGAGCUCCCGUGUUCUCGGACUGGCUUCGUCCCACAGGCGUAAGUACUUUCCAGCUUCAGCCGCUCCCAACAGCUGCACAGCAUCUCUGCUCUCUUGCACUCGAAGGGCACAAAGUUCCCCACAUUCCACUCUCUGAUCCCCAUUUAUGGGCGGCAGCUGCUGCAGGAAACUCCAUGUCUGUGUCCCCGUCAUUCACCUCGCCCUGCACUGGCGGUUUGAGCCAUGCUCACUGCAUGAGAAAGAGAUGACAUUUCUGUUUGGCUUUAUGAUCUAGAGGACACUGGGAGGCUGGGGGUGCCACCCUGCCCCGCUCCAGAGGGCCUUUAGGACUCAAAGGCGAGGUCGGAGUCCACCAGCUUCUGCCAUCUGCCCAGGAAAGGACUUUUCCACGGGGCCAAGGGGCAGUGGUGUGGGUUUCCAGAGGAACCGGGGAGCGUUGUCAGGUGGAUUUAGCCACCAGGGCGCUUCCCUGCUCUUACGUCUCAGAAGAGGUGGACCCGCCAUGCGGAUGGCUCUCCAACCUGCAAGGAGCCCAUGGGGUCCCUUUAGGUGCCCGUCCCUCUGAGCUGCCAGCCCAGGAGAGGCGUGGGGAUUAUGUAUUUUCUUAGUGGGAAGCUAGCUAGCUGAGCGUCCACCUAGGUCCUGGGGUGUCACCGCCACCAGGGCCCAGGUGAGGAGGAAGAGCAGGCUCCGGCAGGGACCCUGAGGGCGGGGAGGCUGUGGAGGAAGCCCGGCUUGGAAGACCAGCGCCCUCAGCCUGCGCGGCGGGGCGUCCCGUGCCGAAGUCGGAGUGGAGGGCUCGAGGCAGCGGCCAGGGGCCAGAUGGGAUCCUGCGGACCGCGGUGGAGGUGCCUCACGGAAACAGGGCUCGCUGCAUUUCCCAGAGAACCACGAUGGGAAGGAACGAAUGGGGACAGCCGGUGGCGGAGGGAAUCAGCAGGGGGCUGCGGUCAGGCAGCCCAGGGUCAAGCCCUGCGCAGCUGCUGAUCACUGUGCCUGCAGCAGUCACUUCAGCAGUGCAGCCACUUCAUGUACGCAGUGGGAAUCAUUCUUUCAGCACUGAGCUGCAAAGGCCACGGGGCAUCCCUGGCCUGCACGGGGAUGUAGGGUGCCUCGCUUUGGGCCUCCUCCGGGUCGGUGGCUGUGGUUCCCGGGACUUCUCCCUCAGUCCACAACCCCUUCUGCUCUGAUACCAGACCCAGGAAUUUGCAGACCAGUGGUCCACGCUGGGGCCUGAGCAGCCUCUUCCUGCCCUAUGAGGUUUGGGUGGAGGCUGAACUGUCAGACUGGCGGGCCCUUUCCCUUGGUACUGGUUCUUGGGGUGAGAGAAGAAGAGGGGGCCCGGGGUGGGGGCUGAGACCGACUCCCCACGCCCCACCGAGUUCCUGGAGUCCAAGGGUGUGAGCUCAGAGCCCGACCUUGAGGUUGCUAUAAGGGUAUAUUUGCACAGGCAGGAGGGAAGAAUAAACCUUAUUUCACAGUU